rnacentral:rRNA from 1 species
ACGCACGCUGGCGGCGUGCUUAACACAUGCAAGUCGAACGGAAAGGCCCUGCUUUUGUGGGGUGCUCGCGUGGCGAACGGGUGAGUAACACGUGAGUAACCUGCCCUUGACUUUGGGAUAACUUCAGGAAACUGGGGCUAAUACCGGAUAGGAGCUCCUGCUGCAUGGUGGGGGUUGGAAAGUUUCGGCGGUUGGGGAUGGACUCGCGGCUUAUCAGCUUGUUGGUGGGGUAGUGUCUUACCAAGGCUUUGACGGGUAGCCGGCCUGAGAGGGUGACCGGCCACAUUGGGACUGAGAUACGGCCCAGACUCCUACGGGAGGCAGCAGUGGGGAAUAUUGCACAAUGGGCGGAAGCCUGAUGCAGCAACGCCGCGUGCGGGAUGACGGCCUUCGGGUUGUAAACCGCUUUCGCCUGUGACGAAGCGUGAGUGACGGUAAUGGGUAAAGAAGCACCGGCUAACUACGUG